AGGACGAACGCUGGCGGCGUGCUUAACACAUGCAAGUCGAACGAGGUUCAACCGGUGGCAACACUGGGGAAGACCUAGUGGCGAACGGGUGCGUAACACGUGAGCAAUCUGCCCCGAAGACCGGGAUAACACCGGGAAACCGAUGCUAAUACCGGAUGUCCCCACGAGCCCGCAUGAGCUUGUGAGGAAAUGGAUUCCGCUUCGGGAGGAGCUCGCGGCCUAUCAGCUUGUUGGUGAGGUAAUGGCUCACCAAGGCGACGACGGGUAGCUGGUCUGAGAGGACGAUCAGCCACACUGGGGCUGAGACACGGCCCAGACUCCUACGGGAGGCAGCAGUGGGGAAUCUUGCGCAAUGGGCGAAAGCCUGACGCAGCAACGCCGCGUGGGGAUGAAGGCUCUCGGGUUGUAAACCCCUUUCAGUGGGAACGAAACAGACGGUACCACAGAAGAAGCCCGGCCAACUACGUGCCAGCAGCCGC
rnacentral:rRNA from 1 species